rnacentral:rRNA from 1 species
UAGGGAAUCUUCGGCAAUGGGGGGAACCCUGACCGAGCAACGCCGCGUGAGUGAAGAAGGUUUUCGGAUCGUAAAGCUCUGUUGUUAAGGAAGAACGAGUGUGAGAAUGGAAAGUUCAUACUGUGACGGUACUUAACCAGAAAGGGACGGCUAACUACGUGCCAGCAGCCGCGGUAAUACGUAGGUCCCGAGCGUUGGCCGGAUUUAUUGGGCGUAAAGCGAGCGCAGGCGGUUAGAUAAGUCUGAAGUUAAAGGCAGUGGCUCAACCAUUGUAGGCUUUGGAAACUGUUUAACUUGAGUGCAGAAGGGGAGAGUGGAAUUCCAUGUGUAGCGGUGAAAUGCGUAGAUAUAUGGAGGAACACCGGUGGCGAAAGCGGCUCUCUGGUCUGUAACUGACGCGGAGGCUCGAAAGCGUGGGGAGCGAACAGG